rnacentral:lncRNA from 1 species
AAUAUGCUCUAAAGCUGACUGCACCAAAUGUUUCUUCUCCACCUAACACAGUUGUUUGAGAUUUGGUUAGGAACAAAACUGCAUCUUGUAGUUUUUAAUAAAGCUCUUGGCGAACAGUUCAAACACUGGGGGGGGGGGCAGGAGAAGGAGCAGUAUUUAUGGGAGCGGGAGGAGAUCAUUUGCUUUCUUAUGAUUGGGAAAGAUUAAUAGUCUGCAAAGGCUCUUGGAUUCAUUCCUCACAUAGCGCAAUGGUUAGGAGACUUAUCGACUUGAUUUUCUCCAUUAUCCCUUCCCCAGGUGGCCUAGAGACUGUCUGGACUGCAUAAAAAAGGAACAGGGAGCCAAUCCUGUAUCAGCUCACACUCAGGAGGAAGGCUGUGGCACUGCAUGGGGGAGGAAGAAUACGACAUCUUACAAAGAUUUCUUUGCUGUGAAUUUAAAGCAUUUUCAAAUAAAUACAUAACAUGCCAAGGUGAAUCCCGAAGCAAAAGCAAAUGGAAGGAAAAACACAGGAAUUUUGCGAGCCCCACUGAACAGCUGAAAGCUUUCCAAUAUCCAAAAAAAAAAACAAUGCAAACCUUGCUACACACACAUUACAAUGGAAAAGAGAUGAAAAAUCAUUGGAUGCACAUGUGGAACGGCAGGGCAUGACUUCCAGACAAGCUAGAGGCUGGGCUGAAGAGACAGUCUCCAGGAUUACAAACCAACUCAGUCUUUACUUCCAGCCUUACAGAUCUCAUCAUCCAUAUGGACCUUGAGGUGAAAGACGGCCCUUUUCCCUGAAAGAUCCAUGCCAAAUGCAGCCUUUAUGUACAAAUCACAACGUCGUAUCCAGCUUGACAUAUGCGGCAACAAACACAGGAGGCACAGGCCAUCCAGAGCUUGUGAACAAAAGCCACUGAUCUUACCCACCUGUCUGAAGCAAAAGUCACCUCACCAAAACCAAAGUUAUUCUGGAAAGGAGAUGAGCGGUUAGGCAGGGAAACUUGCUUUCCCUUACUGGCUCACUGUUGUCUGUCUAACAUCCGAAAGAUGAACCGACCUAAUUUCUCCUUGCUUCUGUAUCCAGGAAAUUACAACCCAACGCCCCUGUCACUUGGCUGGGUGCAACUGCAAUACUGAGAGCUUUCAAAACUUCACUGAAAGCUACUGAGCACAGUAAGCUAUGAAAGAGAAAAGUUAUAUGCUAUUUAUGUCUAUUGUGCUCAAGCUCAUCUCCAAUUUGGGUGCUGAAGGCUGUAGUAGAGCUAAAACAUUGUGUUUUGAGGUGGCAAUGGCUUUUCAGAAGACCAUGAUCAGCCUUAUUAUUCAAAACAACAUUAGGAA